GACGGAGGGUGCUAGCGUUGUUCGGAAUCACUGGGCGUAAAGCGCGCGUAGGCGGCCUUGUAAGUCAGGUGUGAAAGCCCGGGGCUCAACUCCGGAACUGCAUUUGAAACUACGUAGCUCGAGGUGGCAAGAGGAGAGUGGAAUCCCCAGUGUAGAGGUGAAAUUCGUAGAUAUCGGGAGGAACACCAGUGGCGAAGGCGGCUCUCUGGUUCGAUUCUGACGCUGAGGUGCGAAAGCGUGGGGAGCAAACAGG
rnacentral:rRNA from 1 species